GUAGGUGGCAAGCGUUGUCCGGAAUUAUUGGGCGUAAAGCGCGCGCAGGCGGUCCUUUAAGUCUGAUGUGAAAGCCCACGGCUCAACCGUGGAGGGUCAUUGGAAACUGGGGGACUUGAGUACAGAAGAGGAAAGCGGAAUUCCAAGUGUAGCGGUGAAAUGCGUAGAGAUUUGGAGGAACACCAGUGGCGAAGGCGGCUUUCUGGUCUGUAACUGACGCUGAGGCGCGAAAGCGUGGGGAGCAAACAGGGGGUUAGAUACCAUGGUAGUCCACGCCGUAAACGAUGAGUGCUAAGUGUUAGGGGGUUUCCCGCCCCUUAGUGCUGCAGCUAACGCAUUAAGCACUCCGCCUGGGGAGUACGGCCGCAAGGCUG
rnacentral:rRNA from 1 species